UAUAGGACUUGUAGAGCUUGAAAAAGCUUGUUUUGGUCUUUUUUUCUCUUUUCUGGGCACUGAACUUCAUAGACAGACUUACCAACUGAUGAGCCAAAGUAGCAAAUUUCUUCUUCCUGGGAGGGGUGGACUCUACGUUGGUAGAUCGAACUUUCAUUUCUUCCUUCCAUUUCAUCUUUCCAAGUAGUCUCCUUUUCAAGUAGAUACGCUUUGAUACCAGACUGGUGUGCAUUCUAUGCUUACCCAGCGAGCGAAGGAGCGAGCCAAUUCCUCUAUUCCGGUAGAGCCAAUUCCUUUGAAGAAUUGUUUACUUUCUUGUCUUUCCUCCAGUGAACAGAGUGGAAGACCAGGUAUCUUCGUAGUUGGCUCUGGAAUGAUUGCUUGCAGGAUUUCAUAUUUUCCAGUGAUCAGCUUAGUUGGAAGAGAUAGAUAGGAGAAGUGAAUGCCAGAUGCGCGGUGUGCCAAUCAAUCCAAUUUCGUGAGAUCGAGUCAAGAUAAGAAGGCAAAAUUCUUUGGAGUAAAGUCGCCUGGAAGAAAGAAUAGGAAUUGAUCUACUAUAGUAUAGAUAGAGUGUCAGAUGAAAUGCUUGACAAGGCAAGGAAAUAGAACUUCCACAUCCUCUAUUCACACUACCUGGAUUGGAAUUGGUUCUAUCGAGAUAUACUGACUUGAAACAGGAAUUUCUUGGUAACUACUGCUUCUUUGAAGCAAGUGCUUUUGGGUUGGCUCUUCUGAUAUGUGUAUUUGCUACCCAUACGGAACAAUUUCAUUGAUGAAAGAUGGAUGGCUAUUCUCCACAUUUGCCAGCACAGUGCACUUUUUCUUCUAUUUCGUGAUUCCUUUCUUUCUGUCGCCAUUUGAAAAUGGAUUUCUCCUCCUGGUUUUAGUCACACACGUCUUUUCCACCUAGGAAGGAUGCCCCUACGAUCAUUCCAUGCUCUGCCUUCGCCCGAGCGGUCCCCAGGGAAGGAAGCCAAUAAUGGGAGUGUCAGGGCGGAACUUCAUUAAUGAAAGGAUUUGCACUGCCCCACCGUGCCGCAGGGACGAACUUCAAUAGCCCAUCAUAGCACUCUCAGUCAGGGGGUUAGGGAACUCUUGAACAUAUCGAUAGAAUAACAUUUCUUUUUCAUAAGUUUCAGUGGAUGCAGAGCCAACAAGUGUAGUUUUUCAGCGUAAGGUCAGGUUACAGAAAGGCCUAUUUUGAUAAGCAAGGCAUUGCAAACAAAUAGGUAGAGCAGAGAGCUAACCUAAGGAAUGAGCUUGUUGUAGUUGGUCUAAAGGGGGAAAUAAAGGACUGUCCCGCUACUACUUCCUUGAUUCCCGGGAAAGAAGGAAGACCGAGGGUAACUAACUCUUCCUUCUGAAAAAUCUAUAUCCCAGCUCGUUUUCAUCGAGCCUUCCCCCCGUUUGGAGUAUAGCCAAGUGGUAAGGCAUCGGUUUUUGGUACCGGCAUGCAAAGGUUCGAAUCCUUUUACUCCAGAGCAUACUUAUUCUAGAAAAUAGAAAAAGAAAAAGAAAGUCUCAUCCCUACCCUAAUAAAUAAAUGAAAGUAGAUUUACAUUAUUUUUGUAUUUCUAGGGGGAAUGUUGAGGCAAACUUACGAUGCUGACAAGCUGGUUAGGUGCCGAGUUGGAUUAGACAUCGCAGGUUUCAGUUUAAGAAUUGGGAAGCGGUUAAGAUGGCAGAACCCCCAAGAAAUCCACCACUUGGUUAGAUGCUUUAGCGAGUGAACUAGGUUUUUAUUUGAGAGCGAACUAGGUUUUUAGUGGUAUUCCUUCUCGAGCUUCUAUUUCUUCCGUUAAGGGAGAUUCGGGAAAAGAUGGAAUAGGAAGACGUGUUUCCAGAACGAACAAGAUACGGGUAGAGAAGGGGAAGUUAGCAAAGUUAGACAAGAUUGGAAUGGGCAUAGGAACAUGUAUUGAUGUACCAGAUCGGCUAAUGCUCCCAGGUUGAUGCGAUGUAUUCCACCAGUUGACUGGAGACUUUAUUAUUGGUAUAUCGAUCGGUCCAGCACGGAUUGAAAUAGGAGCCGGUUCGACAGGAAGCUUUUGAAAACGCAGUGCACCCAGGUAAAUAAGGAACAAGAUGAAUACAGAAGUUAAACGAGCAUCCCACACCCGAAAGGUACCCCACAUAGGCCUUCCUUGAAACCCCCCAGUCACUAACGUAAACAAAGUAGAAAAAGCACCAAUUUCUGUACCGGUUCCGGGAGAGCGAAGAAAAAGAGGAUGUUUUGUUAAUGGGAACAAGGAACUGUUUAUAGCUGUCGCGAUAUAAAUAACUAUACUCAUCCGAGCCGCAGGAACAUGUACAUACGAAAUACGAGAAUUUCCACCUUGUUGAAGAUCUGGUGGUGCUACCCGAAGACUUAAAUGAAUAGCCAUCGCUGUUAAGAACAACCGAGAUCCAAUGAGAAUUUGCGCGUAGCUUUUUGUCUUUGACAUAAAAAAAUAAGGUUGUAAUAACGAAACUGACAUUUUAUUUUCCUUGCCUUGCAAGUGGAACAAGAAAGACUAUAUAGUUAUUUUGAUUCUAUAAACAAUCAAAGGAUUUCGCAUGCUUUCCAUGGAAUGACGGAAUUCCCCUUGCUUAGUUUUCGCUCCGCUCGUGCGUGGCACUCCUUGCUUGCGGAGCGGCAUAUCGGAAAAAGAAGGAUUGACUUUCUAUACAGGCCCGUCCCCUCUUACCCCUAACUAACAAUUAUGCUGCUCUCGCCUUUUUGUAAUCUUAUCUUUCAAAAAUGCACUACUAAUUUUUACGGCCUCCUUAGUAACCCUAUCCACUCUCGUCCUGUUUUCGGGUUCCCUUUCAGGGGAUGAGGAUAUUUCGAUGAUUUCUCCCUCCGUAGGUGGAAAACGCGUGGGUGAGUAGAGUCUGUGCUUUGCUUUUGGGGGCACCGGCAAGAAGCUUCUCGGCCACCCUACUCUGACUUGAUUAGCUACUAGUAACUAGGAUCGUUCAAACAGUCAGUCAGCAAUGCGUACUUCUUUCCUAGUUGAGUGGAUCUGCGUAGCAGGGCCCAAUCUUCUACCACAAGCUCUGACCUGACUUGUUGUACUUGAUUCACCCACAUAAAUAGACAACUUGGAUAAUAAAAGUCAUCCCAUAAAAGAGAAGUGAGUCCGCAUGUCGGCAAAUGAUUUGGAAUUGAAUCUGGCUACAGAGGAAACCGAAGCCCUAACUCCCCAUUCUUUCUAUCUUACAUCGCCAUCGAGCCCUGGCUGUAGAGUCACUGGUUUCUAAUCGCAAUGGAUUUAAGUUUUCUUUGGCUUUUCCAUUCGCUUCGUUCAACCCUGAUCUGGAUAGAUAGCUCGGCUUCUAUUAGCUGAGAAUGGUUUUGUCAAGGAAAGGUUUCGCUAUACAACAACAAUGAACUCACUUCUGAUCAAAUUGGAUUGGAUGAAUCGGUAAUCUUUCUCUGUCUUGUGAGAGAGAGACACUUGUUGUAUUGAGAGCGGGCGGGUGACAUGCAUUAAGCGAAAUCAGUUGUUAUGUUUUUGAUCUUAUUUGCGCGAGAAGACCCUUGACUGAGGCGAAAUCAGUUGUUAUGUUUCUAUUCACUUUCAGAGACCGCUCUGAGUUUGCCGGUUUUGCGGCAACCCUUUCACUAAGAACAUUUUAGCCAUUAAAGAAAUUCCACUAUUCCACAAUGCUUCUUUGAUUUAUGUGUAGAAGCGGUAGUAGUGAAGAAAAUGGAGGGAGAAGAAAGAAAGCGAUGUGACACGAGAAUAAAUCACAUCCGACAGCCAGCCAUGCCAUUAGAUAGAUCCGCUCUGAGUCUUCUGCAGGAUGAGAUCCGCUUGGUCUUGUGAUAGGGGCUUGAGGAGGAAGAAGAGGGGAUUUCUGGAAAAAAAAGAAUGAAUCUCCUUAUUUAUAGGGAACAGGACAUGUGACUUCCUCAAACAAAACGAAUGUGGCUUUCGUGAUAAGGCAAAUCCUUCGUUCGGUACAAUCAACAUAUUGAAUCUAUGCUCGCUCGGCUCGGUGCUGAAUGAACUCCUUCAUUGAUUCUGGGCUGCUCGUAGGGGGACUGUGAAAGCAAGCGUAGGAGAUCAAAAUGUGAGUCGAGUCCGAUGGGUAAAAAGGGGAAGCAGGAAAGGGUUCUGAUGUGAAUUCUUCUGGUUUGUAUAUCUAUCUCAGCCCUUGCUUGAAAACCUCAAAAUUGACUUGCAUCUUCCCUUAUCACACUACACUUUCUCUUCCUUAUUCCAUUCUUAUUCCAUUUCACUGAGCUAAGCAACACUUUUUCACGUAUUCACCUGAGAUAUUAUAGAAAUUGGUCAUAUUGAUCUGUCGUCUUGUUCUCGAUAGGAACUUGCUACUGUCUUGGUUGGUUUGAGAGCAGGCACUGUCUAUAUAUCCAAAACCGGAGGAGAGUUUGGGUUUGGAUCACAGACGAUCGGAGAUUUUGGAUUGAGAUGGAUGGUUGUGCUUGAAGUUACGAGUCGGGUAAUGCUAAGUUGAAUCGGCUGAUCCGUUUCAUCCUCUUUCGGCAAAGGAAGUUGGACUUUAGUUAGCUAAAAAAAGUACCAGCAGCAUGUCUGUGCCCUUUGAGUCUAUAGCUGCCAAAUCUAAAGAUUCCUUAAGUUGUCGUACGGCUUCUUUUUCUUCUUUUGUCAAUGAUCGGUGACAAUGAAUGCUACGAAUGUUCGCUUCCACUAAUGUCGUAUAAGAAUUGUGAGGUGCCCAUAGCUUCCCGGAAAGAAGAAUAGUCAUUGUCGUUUCCUGACCGAUAUGAAUGCACAUAUUGACCCUCGCCUCGGGAAAUACCACCAGUAGAGUCUGCAGAAGGUGUCGUUCAGGAGAGAUGCUGGGCUCUAGAUAUGCGAGUGAGAUACCCGCCCUCGGUCAUGACCUGGGUUGAAGAAUGAAUCUAUGUUCUUGGAAGCAAAGAAAGAACUCCGGUAUUCUGACCUUAUCUUUUUGCUCAAAGAACGAAUCAAACCCCUUGUCGAAGCCCUUUAUGAUUAUAACCCUGGAUCGAGUCAGAUUUGGGGCGGCUGAACCCACUUAAGCUGAAGCCUUAGUAGAUGUCGACGGAAAGGUGAGAAGAGCUGAUCGAACCUACCAAGCAACGGUUAGUUGUGCGGUGUACAUACAGGCUGGUUUCGCCAUUAGCGAUGAAUUGGAUUUAUUAGUAAGGGAAUGAAUGAAGCGGAUCGGAAAGAAGAUGGAUUUUGGAAUAGAAAGAAUUCCUCUUCUAGGUUUCUGCUUCGAGUAGUAAGCAAAGGAUCCUACCUGCUAAUGGUUGAAGACCUUGGCGGCCUCUAGUUCUUCUAUCUAGUUUUUUAGCCUAGCGCGAACGAAUAAGCUUAAACAAAUGGUUUCUUUGGCAACGGUUUUUUCUAGUUGAUUUGUCCUUAUAUAUAUUAGCCGUAGUGUAGUUUAAUAAACUGCUCAUAGCUCUUAUCAUUCCUUUAUCCAUGCAUAGACUGGGAAUAUAUUAGCUCUUAGCUCUGGCACUUUCUUCUUCUUUAUUUGCCGUUGCAUUCAAUAGCCUAUUUGAAGUUAACAAAAGCUUUAUUAGCUAGCUCUAUGAAAUACGUAUAUCUUCUUGGCUAUCUAGGCUAUCUCUACAGGCUUUUUCAACCUAUAAGCAGACCUUUGUAUACACCCUUGUAACUGAACUAGCUAUUCACAAAGAAAGGUCUAUACCGUACAUAUACCAACUACGCACCCCUUGUAUACUUCUUUUUCCUUCUCCCGUGCUUCAAGUUCUGCCCCGGCUCACUCCUCUUUCCAGCAAUCUAUGUGGGAAGCACUCGUUCAAAGUAAGUUGAGAUUCAAAGCGUUCCCGUAAGCUAGUAAGUCAAUCAAAGCUAUAACUCUAUUUGUUAGUUUCAGGAAACUGGUACAUAUUUCAAAUAAUAAUAAUAAUAUAUAUAUUAUUAUUUGGUAUUUACCAAUUUUAGACUAAGCAUAAAUUCAUUUGGAAAGAAAAGGGAAAUCCCCUGAAAUAAAGGAUUUUGACUACGUUACCCUCAAAAAGAAGAGGAAGACAAACUAGCCAAGAGACAAAAAAAGGUAGAGACCAACCACCAAAACAAGGGAGUAAGGGCUAGGGGGAUAUGGGCCAAGAAAGGUCCGAUGUAUCGGUCAGCUAUACCUAAUCCUUCACUCAAAAACGCAUCACACCCUUUGUAGGUUCAAGCCGAAGUCAAGCAUGAUCACCUACUGCAAACUCCAAAUAUCGUGGUCGGCGUACCUGGUCCUGAACUGCUUUUAAUCUAGAAUAAGUGGAAUCUUCUCGGCACUCUCCUUCAUCUUCUGUGGCCCCGUCGGUCGGUACGUGCCAACCCCAACAAAUCGGGGUACGACAAAGGUUCCCGUAGAGUGCUUCGAAAGGUGCCAUUCCGAUGCUAGAGUGAUAGCAGUUGUUGUAAGCAAACUCGGCUAAUGUAUCUCUAUGCCUAUUUAGUAGGCCUGCUCAUUGAUGCUCUUCGGGCCGAUUGUAUGGGAUGUGUUCUGGUGUACAGUGGGAGAUGCAAGGAUAUCGAUUGAAGUUUGAUUUGUUGGCCAUGGAGUUGGGAGCAUAUGAUGUAGUCCUAGGAGUAGACUGGAUGAGGAAAUUCCCUAUUAUUUCAAUAAGUCUUUCCGUUGGUUGUAACUAAUCACGUACCCGCUGCUGCGGAAUUCCUUUUACCUAACUAGGAUUGCAGUAAAGAUAAACAACGUUGGGCCUGCCUGCUUGUUCAGCACCACCCAUUCCCAUGGGAAUAUAUGGGUUUUUCGGUCCAGUGGGAGGAGCAUUUUCCUUUGAAGGUAAUUUUCCCAACCAAUAAGUAUUGGGCUCCCAAGUAAACAAAGCGAAGGAUCAAGUAACCAACAUGUUGCGGAGCAGCCAAGUAAACCCAGAAAUGACUCAAGUAAUCCAAGGGCAGAGCAACGUAAUCCAACGGAGGGGCUACGUGAUCCAACAGAAGAGCUACGUAAACAAGGAACACAUGAACCUGCUAAGGAUCCACUCCACCUGCCAAGUGGACCAAUCACAAGAGCUCGGGCCGAGAAAUUCAAUGAAGUAAUCCAUAUGCUGAUUCAGCAAGCCAAGCAUUGGAGUUGGUAUUCCAAGUUUCUUGAAUAACCUAGCUGUCUGAAACUCGCCAAUGGGAUUCUGUGUAAUCCUCCGGUCUACAUGGUGUAGGUAAAGGGCAAAAAAAAGUCGCUAAUUAGUGGCACUGAAGUAUGCACCCUGCGUGUAAACUUCUUCUUUUUAUUUACCAAUGUCGCUAUCCGACUGAUCAUCCUUUGAGACCACGGAGAACAUCAGAGAGAAAGAUAUGUCACCUAAAAAAAUUGACACCCUGACUUAUAUGAGUCGGCUAGAAACUCAAGGCCUGGCCUUUUGUGGGAGAAUGCUGAGUCCUUCCCAAAAUCGCCUGGAUCAACGAAAGAUCUGGAUAAUGCUAGGUUGUGAUACUGAUGUCUGAUUUUACUCAUAUACAUCCGAUAGUGAAGGCCGUGAAGUUUGAACAGCCUCACUUAAUCCUGGUUCGGUAACCUUUCUAGCGCCCAGGUAUCCAUGACCUGUAGAUAGAGGCCCACUUUCCAUUGGAUACUCCGAAUAAAAGAAGAAGUAGUUACCUAAUCAUGGGUCUAUACGUAAGAUCUCCUUGCGUAGAGGUUAAGGCCAGACGGAUUACUGAAAUGUAGUUUGACUAACGUUUCCUCAUCGACUGCGAGAGUUUGUGGUGUGAGUUCUCGGACCAAAGAAACCAAACAAGCAUACCUUUCCUUUAAUGGAGUAUCUUGGGUAUGGUACUCCCUCUUUAUCAGCUCGAUGUUCAAUCAGCAUUCCUUCACGGGGAUCUUGACCGGAUGUAAGUCAAGAUUGCUAUUAUCUUUUUAAAGAACAUAAACUUCAAAGCUUCUAGUCUGUCCCAACUCUUUCGAGCCGCUCUCCCAGUCAACGUUCAAAGGCAUCACCAUACCAUAGAACUUUUGAGCUUGAGAAAUGCUUUUCUGGAUUCUUCUCCACACCUUUCUUUAACAACUCAGUUAAAGGCCUGCUGAUAGCUCCAUACCCCGGUACAAACCUCCUGUAAUAACCCCUGCAACCCUCGCAGUUCUCUGACAUUGGCUGGUUCUGGCCAUGCUAUCAUGCCCUCUACCUUGUUUGUAUCAGUAGAUACCCCAAUUUCAUAAAUAAUGUAUUUCCUUUAUGAAAUUUGGCUCACCCACAAAAAGUUUGUUCUGCCGGAACACUUCCUCUAGCAACUUGAGAUGCUCCACCAUGGUAGAACUGUACACUAGAAUGUCAUCGAAAAAGACCAAUACCCCUUUCCAACAUAUCUCUUUAAAAACACUAUUCAUGAGUUGUUGAAAGGUUGCCGGGGCAUCACCUUGAAUUCAAAAAGCCGGUCCUUCAGGCUGUUUUGUAGAUAUCCUCUUCCUUUCAUUCUUAUUUGGUGAUAACCAGCCCUCAAAUCUAUCUUAGUUCACACCUCAUCCAAAAGUGCCAGUCUUCUAUGAUAGGAAUGGGGUAUUUGGAAAACAUAGUUGCUGCAUUUAGUUUUCGAUAGUCGAAACACAUUCUCCAGGUUCCAUCUUUCUUCAACACCAGAGCUACUUUGGGGCUUGUACUGGGCCUGAUUAUAGCAUUUUGCAACAGCUCCUCUACUAUCCUUUCAAUCUCUAUUUUCUGGGUGAUAGCAUUUCGUCGGAAUACAAAUGGUGGCCCACGUUUAGAAAACUUUUUUAGGGUAUUCUAUUUCAACAGAAUAGAUCAAACUUUUUAUAUAUUCUAUUUCAUCUAUAUAAACUAAAUGGUCCACUCAACUUUCUUAAUUGAUCCAGGAAGUCCUUCCAGGUUUUGGAGGUUACGCGGUUUAAGGCCCGGAUCGCAUAGUUGACUUGAUCGCGCCUUUUCCCAUAUAAAAUAAGAUCUGCUGCCCGGGAGAUGUCUUCAUCAUCAUCCAGGCUAAUUCCCCGGAUAUUUAGAAGCUCCUUGGCUUUAGAUUCCAAUAUAUUGUCCCUUUCUUUCGCUAUCUCUAUUCUAUUGGUGGACGGUCGUAACUCUAAUAUAGGGCUUUUAAGCAUAAAAAUCAGCUGGAAUCUAGUUUUUUCACAAAGGCUGGUUGAGGCUCAGACUCAACCAUCUAUGCUUUGCAGAUGAUCUUUUUUUCAGCGGUGGUGAUCUGAAUUCUAUCCAAGAGCUUACUAGUAUCAUGACUCAUUUUAACAGAGUGUCUGGGCUUUCAGUUAAUGCCAAAAAAGUAAGAUCUUCUUCAGUGGUAUUUCCUUUUCUUUGAAACAAACUAUUUUUGAGUGUGUCUUUAAUGAAGGGAUUUUACCAAUGAAAUACUUAUACCCUCCAUUCAUUUCCUUUUCUUUCCAGGCUAGCUCCCUCUGUAGCCGGUGGUUGAUGUAGAUGAGUAUGGGAAGACAAUGGUAGUUUCAUUCUAGGUCCCACUAAUUGUUGAAUAGUUGGUUUGAGUUUUUUUUUGGAUCCAUGCAAGCCAUUUCCAGUUGAAGUCAUAAGGUACCAUCCUGUUCCAGCCAGGAAGAUAGCUCUAUCUCACAAGUUAGCUGGAUCUUUUAUUUAAGCCAAAGGCUAGAAAACCUAUUUCAAAUGAGUUUGGGCUCCGUUAAGUUAUCCUCAUUUCCUGAGAUAAGCGCAGUUCAACAAAACUAAAAGCUAGAUAUAUCGUUGUAAAGUAGAGCUAGACUGCAUGAUUGGAUUGUAUAGAAGGAUAAGAAGGAUUUUAAAAUUCCUUCUUUUUUUCUUAAAACGAAAGAAGAAAGAGAGUGGGAUGGGAUGAAAGUAAACGCAAAGAGCUGAUUCGAUCAAAGAACCUCGCAGCUUUAGUGCAACAAGCCGAUCGAAAGCACUCAUCUUUAUCGACGAAAUGCUUUCUUGUCUCUUCCUCACUAAACGCCCGCUUCCUGGCUCCUCCCUCUUUGCCUAGCGGUUAAGUAGAUAGUAGGUCCCCCCUGGCCCCGCAACCAAGAGUCACUCAUCGAAAGCUGACCAGGAAGACAAUAACUGCUAUUUCAAGAAAGCAUGGUUGGAGUUCUUCUAUUAACGAAGGGAAGAGGACGGUCUUACUUUUCAGAGAUACCUGACUUAUUAGUGGACUGGUCGUGUCAUAGCGGAAGGUCAGAGGUGGGAAACAAGGAAACAGAGGAAAUGCUUACUGGGACAUAGCCUUCGGUACGAGUUGAAGGGAAGAGGUUUGAUUGCUAAUAAAAUGAGUGGAAGAGCUGCUCGGUCAAAGGCAUUCUCUCAAGUAGCAAAGGCAAGACGGAAAAGCAGGAAUGAAGGUUGCUAGGUACCGCUCCGUGGUAACAUCUAUCGAUUCCGCUAUCGGGAAAGUCUGGCAAGGGAAAUAUCUGGCUGAGGAAUUAGAGGAACUUUGGUAGCACUCGGGGACGGAAUCAAUCAAAGAACUUAAGAAAUUGCCCAUACCGACAGCAGCUCCCGCUUUAGAAAAAACCCUAUCUCAUCAGGCAGGUAUACCUGACCCUUUUUUAGCUAGUUUCGGGAAAGCGGUAAGUUAAGUAAGUAAAGCCCUUCUAAGUGAAGAAUAGCGGAGAGAAAUGGGCAAUUGAAGCAUCUUUCUGUCUAUCGACAGCAGAGUCUAUUGAUCCUCCACAAUCCGGUAAUGCUUUUUCUCAAUUCAAUGCGGAGCGAUAUCAAUGUACUACCUUUCCUUUAUCUCAAAUCAAGUCAAGGCAGGCUAUCUUUGUUAUCAAGAAACAAAGCUGUCUCUAGUGAUUGAUCCGUUUGCUCUCGCCCUUCGGCUUUGUGGUCACUCAAGGUCCUUGGAUUCCGUGCUCAAUCUAGUUGGAGCAAAAGUCCCUGUGGAUAGAAUAAAAACCAUUUUUAUCUGGGAAGAGCGCCUUUGGAAACCCACUGCUGAAGCCGAAUAGGUAGUUAAAGCUGGAAUGAUGGGGGGCAAUCCUGCAGUAUGGCUUUAGUGCGUAGAUUCUCAGGCAGGCUCAUCGACUGGUGGAGGAGGGACACUUUACUUAUUAUCAGAAUAGAAAAGAGUUGUAUGUAUACUUUAGGAAGGGGGAUCAAACUAGUUAUGUUGACAGACAUGAACUCCUAUAGAAGCAGAUGUUCGAGGUCUGGUCCAAAGAUACCAUGCUUGCUUAAGCCAAUCCAUAGGUUCAAGCGAAAGAACACUUAUUCACAGCAAUAUCUAGACCUGAUGAAGAUGACUGCUAGUCAAAUACCUAAAUCCUUUUGAAUUCAUUAGUAAACUCUUUUAAGAGUCAUUAAAAACGAGCAACACCACGUAGGGCAGCGUCCACGCGAACUAGCCUCUUCCUUAGCAAGUCAGUGGGAGAACGCCAUCGGUCAAGAGAAAUGGAAUCCGUUGUUAAGUGGGUACCGGACCCGGUAGAAUUGGCAUCACUUCCUUCACUCCAUAGAGGACUCGGGAUAAGAUCGUUCCCAAGCAGAAGGAAAAGCUUUCGAACUAGGAGUCAGAACGAACUCAUGAAGCUAUCCUUCUUCUAUUGCUACUUUCAGAGAGAGAGAAUAGGUCGUACGAAAGGGGACCCACCUUGAGAAGGGUGUCCCAUUGCGGAGUAGUUAAACGAGUAUUUUGGUAUACCACUUGUGCACCUAAACCUAUGCUUAAGCUUACUAGAACUUCAACCUCAAGUUCAUUAACAUCAAUGCGUCUCAUCUUCUUGAACCUAUUCUAUGGAUAAAUGGGCACCAUCUGUCUGCUAAGGGCAACUAUCCAUCCCUUUUUCUUUCAAGAAUGCGGGUACCGUAGUAGCAAAGCAAGUGAAAUAUGCCAAAGGGAACCGCUCGGAUAUAGACGGCAAGGAAAAACGUCAGCUAAAGAACAGAACUAUUCUAUUGUAUUGAUGGCCCCGAAAGAAAGUGGAUCUGUGAGUGGAGGCCAUCCAUCCCUUUCUGAUGAAACCUUUGUUGCCCUAGCUUGAAUUGAAGGUUUGGCUAAGGAUGGGGAUCCGGUGUCUUCAUCUAUACCAUCAGAGAAGAAGGCUUGCCAAGAAUGGACGAAGGUAUGAUUCUAGGAAAUCUAGAUUUGAAAGAAGGAAGCACCCGAGGAGCAAUCAAACGGACAUUUCUACGAGUGAACUCGCUAAAGCUGAAGAUCCACCAUCCAAUUUAGGCAUUAGGUAGAACUCUCUCAAUCCAGGAACUAGCUCCUAUCUCGAUGAUUCCAUUUCUCUUUUUCAGAGUUAGCUUCUUUCCUAUGGUAAAGAGUACUCUUGUUUCCUAGUUGAGGGAUAAUCAAGUCAUUUCGAAAGGGGAUUUAUCCGUUCCCCUAGCCAUCGAGCAACUGCGAGAAACACCGCGCCCGUGCCCCCGUCGCUCGCCAGAGCAGUCGUGCGUGGCGUACCAAUUUUUUAUCUGGUGGAUCUUGUUUGUUCUUUCGAAAGUGUUUCUACAAACGAGUGAGGUAAACCCAUCUCGGUCGAAUAAUUCGUAUCUUUAGACCAUUCAGAGCCGUUUGCAUUAAGUGUUGGGAUUUAGUUUGUUGUCAUUACCCUCAACUUCAUUGCCGUCCACCUCUUGCCGUGUUAUUGGCUAGAGAAAGACAACCGAUUGUACUACUACAGUGUUGAGUACCCCAGUUGCUCCGCGGGUGAUUAUGCCCUAAAUUCUCAGGAGUGGUGGAACGGAUUGCUCCUAUCUAGGGUUUCCUAGCUUGCUUUCCUAGAUUUAGCUUUAUCUAUCUUUCCGAGAUGACCAACUGCUCUUUCUUGCCAAUCUACUUUAGAUUUAUUAAUACUUUCAUUGCGGGACCUAUCCCCGAACAACCAUUGCUUUUCUUCCGCGGUUUCUUUAGUUUCUUCUUGAUUUGAUUGAAGUUUAGGGAAUUGGAUGGACUGGUGUCUUUGGAUAUUAUCCGUCCUACUUAUGAUCUUCCAAUUGAACACACUAGUAUUUUAUGGAUUCUUUCCCUGGUAGUGUAGUCAUCUCCAAAAGGGAUGAUACAUAUUUAUCUGUUCUAGGAUGCGCCGUUCGUGAUAAGCUUAUCCGCUUCUUUUCACCGGUAGUGUGAAUCUUCUCGAAAGCGCACAACAUAGUCCAGUCAGUGUAGCCAGGGCAUCAUGAACGGAUUCCUCAAGAGGAAGGUAGGGCCAUAUCUAUCCAAGAAGAAAGACCUGGUAAACAAUUAUGCUACUUGACCAAUGGAUAAAGUAUAGAUCUCAUGGCUAGCUACUAUUCAACCCUGGCAUUGGGGAUCAGGAACGGGGUAAAGUACGGACUUUGGCUAAGGAUGGGGAUCCGGUUGUGCCGUGCCGGCCCCGGGAAUCGGCGAACUACGCUACACAGUCAGAUACCUAAGCGAACGGAUAAGGGAAAGCCCGCUAUAUUAUAUAUAGUAAUCACCUGCCAAAAGGAAAGCCUGACCAAUAAUAAUAAUAGGUCUAUGCGCCGAACAAGCCACGGUAUAUUAGAGAUAGUAAGGAGUUGUAUACACGGGGGUAUGCAUUCAUGUCACGCUUUCUGUGUGAUAAGAGGUUGCUAGCUAGCAAGUAUAGAAACAGGAGAUAUGCGUAGUUAACAGAAGCAAGGGAAUAUGCGUGAGUUGAUUUGAGAGUUUUUUUUUAGUUGCCACCGAAAAAGCAAUUUCAUCUAAAGGGAAAAUGCAUUGCAUUUUCAAGGGAUUGCCAAGCUAGGCUAGGGAUCGUCCGCGGGUAUCAGGAAUAUCGUAUUUAUCUCUUCUAAUCUAGAUCCCACUUCCCUCCACUUCUUGCCUCACGCCCGUCCUGACUCCACAUUAACGACUGUCCUUCCACCCAAUUCCCCGCACCCUUGCAUCACAUCUCCAACCCCUGCCUCCACGCGAUCUUCCACAAUCGUACCCCCCACCUCUAAAGCUUUCCCUCGACGAACCUGUCUACACCUGCGGGCCCGCGCUUACAUCAUUGGCAUCGCAUGAUUAAACAUCAGCACGCGCACUUCCCUCCGUUUUCAAUGCUGACAGGGGGCUGCUAGGGGGUGUAAAGUUUCGUUUCGGUCAUGUCACACGACAUGCAAGGGG
rnacentral:lncRNA from 1 species